rnacentral:rRNA from 1 species
CGCACCAGUCGCGAAACCUCCGCAAUGCGGGAAACCGUGACGGGGCCACCCCGAGUGCCCCGAAGAGGGGCUUUUCCCCGCUGUAAGAAGGCGGGGGAAUAAGCGGGGGGCAAGUCUGGUGUCAGCCGCCGCGGUAAUACCAGCCCCGCGAGUGGUCGGGACGUUUACUGGGCCUAAAGCGCCCGUAGCCGGCCCGGCAAGUCCCCACUGAAAUCCCCGGGCUCAACCCGGGGACGGGUGGGGAUACUGCCGGGCUAGGGGGCGGGAGAGGCCGAGGGUACUCCCGGGGUAGGGGCGAAAUCCGAUAAUCCCGGGAGGACCACCAGUGGCGAAGGCGCUCGGCUGGAACGCGCCCGACGGUGAGGGGCGAAAGCCGGGGGAGCGAACCGGAUUAGAUACCCG